UUCAUUUUCAUGUAUGACCAGAUGUAUCUUGAUCUAUAAUUCUGUCAAUCAGAACAAAAUUUAAUGGAAAAGAUGUAAGAACAUGGUUAUGUGAAAAAUGCUAAGAGUACUUGCUAUUUUUAUAUUCAAUAAUUUGAGUGCUUAAAAUUAAUUUGCCCAAGUAAAUUUCUUUAAAAUAAUUUUAAUAUGGAGUAGGAAUUCCAGUUUUCCAUGUUUUUUUUAGUAAAUAAAGCCUUUUCUUUUCUAUUGUGAUAUAUAAACAGUGAUUCUAGGUGAAGUUCCCUCCUUCCUUUUUGAAAUGCAAAUCUUUUUACUUCUCCUAGUUAAGUCAACUAUAUUUAAAACAGGUUAUUUUGUGGGAAUUUUUAUAAAUAUGUUAUUUUUGAGUAAAGUAAAUAAAAUAGGCUGAUAUUCAGGCUUCAUGUCAUGGUUCACUUUGAACUAAGUUUUGUUUUUCAGGAAAACUAGAAUAAAAUAAUUUAAAAGAGUGUACUUUUUGAAGAGGAAAAUUUUAAAAAGAUAUUUUCAUGUUCCUUCGGUUUCUUUUGCCUUUCUUUUUCUUUAUUUUUUUGUUGGAAAAAACAACCUUUUCAUCAUUUGUGUUCAUUUUCAUGUAUAAAUGACUUCAUAACCCAAUAAAAGAAUUUUGAAAUAACUUGUAAUGAUAAACACUGCUUGAAUUUUAAAUACGUUCAAUUUUUAGAUAGCAUUUGCAGUUGAGUGUUGUAAAUCUUGUAAAUCACUUUUACCAUAUUUUCACACAAUUUAUACAUAUUUAUGUUCAUCAUUUAUACAUGUAGAUACUUUCAUAUCACAUCUGUCACCCUAAAUUAUUCCAGUUUGGUGCUGUGUAUUUAGAGAUACGAUCUAUCAUUAUUGUAUAUAUACUUUAAAACUAUCUGUAAAAUGCAUCCAUCUUGAAUUGCAUAGUGUCAUAUAUAUGUCUCAUGGGUUAAAAUAAUUGAAAUCCACUUAACAUUUUGUGUGGUGGUCAUAUAUACUUGACCAUUUUAUCAAGAACAUAUUGUAUUUAGUAUGUAUGAUAGUUCUUGGCAUUCAACAAUAUUAAUUUUUUAAAUGCUAAAGCUGUUUUAUGUUAAUAAAGUUAAAACUAUGAAUGUAAGUGUAACCCAAACAAGAGAUAUUUAACAAACUUUUGGGCUGAACUUUCUCCAAUCUUGUGUUACAGAUGUCUUAAAAUAAUCAAAUUUAAAUUUAAUAUUUAGAUAAAUUGCUCAGAUAGAACAAUUACAAAUUAUGUUAUUGAAAUAUGGCUUAUUUUAUAUAACAAGAGGUCAAAAGAUGAACCUUUCUUAAAAAAAUUAAGUUCACUAAUUCUUUUUUGCCAUAUAUCUUUGUUAAUAUUAUUUCUUGAAAAAAAAAAAAUGAAUAUUUUAUUCACUUUCACAGUAGAAUAGUAUAUUCCAGAUAACUACUAUAUUAUUUACAACCAAUAAAAAUUUGGUUUGAAUAAUAAUUCCACAGCCUCUGUCAAAUAAAACAGAAUAAAGAAAUGAUUAAAAAUAAAUGAUUGAUUUUGGCACAUACUGGAUAUUUAUCGUAUUAUAUACAUACAUGUAAUUAUAAGAAAAGGACAAAUGUGUUUAGAACCCUUAAACAAAAUGUGCCCUUUUGUCACAUAUUUACUCUUUAGUUAAGUAAGGUAAUAUAGUUUUUGCAAAUAAGUUUAUACAGUUAUAAGGGUACUACUAAAAAAAAACAGUAAGCGAUUGUAAGUUUAAUUUUAAAUAGACAUAUUUGAUAUAAGAACAGGGAUGCAAAAACAAUGUUGUUAUCAGAGAUAUUUUUCUCUCUUUUUUUUGUAUCAAUAGGAUGUGCUUGUACAUAUACUUUUUGUUUCAGUAACCAUCAAACUUAAAAUUCAACAGAAGGUUAAAUUGAAUAUUCAACAGAAGGUUAAAUUGAAUAUUCAACAGAAGGUUAAAUUGAAUAUUCAACAGAAGAUAAAUUGAAUAUUCAACAGAAGAUAAAAUUGAAUAUUCAACAGAAGAUAAAAUUGAAUAUUCAACAGAAGGUUAAAUUGAAUAUUCAACAGAAGAUAAAUUGAAUAUUCAACAGAAGAUAAAAUUGAAUAUUCAACAGAAGAUUAAAUUGAAUAUUCAACAAGAUUAAUAUGAAUAUAUUUUUAAAGGUAAAUCAUAAUAUUCGAACUUGUUUAUAAUACUGGUCUAUAUUGAAUGACAUGAAUACAUACAUUUUGUUUAAGUAGUGGUUUGCAUAGCUAUAAGGGCAUAUUUUCAUAUAAGGUUUCAAACAUGUUAUUUUUGUUUUACUGUCAUGUGUUUAGAAAUUGGUAUCAUUUUAUGUGCAAUCAGUGGAUUACUAUCAUGUGAGCAUACAGAAAUAAAAUGUUC
rnacentral:lncRNA from 1 species